GUAGGUGGCAAGCGUUGUCCGGAAUUAUUGGGCGUAAAGCGCGUGCAGGUGGGUUCUUUAAGUCUGAUGUGAAAGCCCCCGGGCUCAACCGGGGAGGGUCAUUGGAAACUGGGGAACUUGAGUGCAGGAGAGGAAAGUGGAAUUCCACGUGUAGCGGUGAAAUGCGUAGAUAUGUGGAGGAACACCAGUGGCGAAGGCGACUUUCUGGCCUGUAACUGACACUGAGGCGCGAAAGCGUGGGGAGCAAACAGGAUUAGAUACCCUGGUAGUCCACGCCGUAAACGAUGAGUGCUAAGUGUUGGGGGGUUUCCGCCCCUCAGUGCUGCAGCUAACGCAUUAAGCACUCCGCCUGGGGAGUACGGUCGCAAGACUG
rnacentral:rRNA from 1 species